rnacentral:tRNA from 1 species
UAAGGUUUUAGCUUAAUUAAAGUGUCUGAGUUGCAUUCAGGAGCUGUGUAUUAAAGUUCCACAGGCCUU